GUGAGGAAUCUUGCGCAAUGGGGGAAACCCUGACGCAGCGACGCCGCGUGGAGGACGAAGGCCUUCGGGUCGUAAACUCCUGUCAAGUGGGACGAAUCCGAAAAGAUGAAUAAGCUUUUCGGUUGACGGUACCAUUGGAGGAAGCCCCGGCUAACUCCGUGCCAGCAGCCGCGGUAAUACGGGGGGGGCUAGCGUUGUUCGGAAUUAUUGGGCGUAAAGGGCGCGUAGGCGGCCUGGUAAGUCGGACGUGAAAUCCCGCGGCUCAACCGCGGAACUGCGUUCGAAACUGCCAGGCUUGAGUCCCGGAGAGGGUAGCGGAAUUCCCAGUGUAGCGGUGAAAUGCGUAGAUAUUGGGAGGAACACCAGUGGCGAAGGCGGUUACCUGGACGGGUACUGACGCUGAGGCGCGAAAGCGUGGGGAGCAAACAGG
rnacentral:rRNA from 1 species